AAAAAGUAAGACAAGGCCAGAGCAAGAGCCUAGAACCUGAAACUCCAACUUUAGGGUUUCUUAGGCUCUCGGUGACGUUGACCCGAAGAAAGGGAGGUAACAGACCAAUUUGCAGCCAUCUCUAGCGAUGUAAAGCAAAUUGGAUACGACCCGACACAAGUGUUCAGAUUGAAAACACAGAUCGUCGGAUAUGUGCGAGUUGAUUGAUAGAUUCGUGCAUCACAUCAUCGCAAGAGAUAUUUGAGAUCCAAUCUGAAGAGAAUGUCGUUGACGAGAUGUGAGAUUUGCUUCGUCUUUUGAGGUGAUUACUACUUUGUGAUUUGGUGCUUGUGAUACUGUUUA